rnacentral:rRNA from 1 species
UACGGAGGAUCCAAGCGUCAUCCGGAUUUAUUGGGUUUAAAGGGUGCGUAGGUGGUUUUUUAAGUCAGGGGUGAAAGACGGCAGCUUAACUGUCGCAGUGCCUUUGAUACUGAAGAACUUGAAUAAACUAGAGGUAGGCGGAAUGUGACAAGUAGCGGUGAAAUGCAUAGAUAUGUCACAGAACACCGGUUGCGAAGGCAGGUUACUAUGGUGUUAUCGACGCUGAGGCACGAAAGCGUGGGGAUCAAACAGG